GCCUUCGUGGUGUAGUGGUCAGCACGCUGGAUGCUUAACAGAGAAGUCUGUGGUUCGAUUCCCGGCGAGGGCG
rnacentral:tRNA from 1 species